AGAGCGCAAGCAAGUGAUAAUGAAGAAUAAGAAGAUUCAAUAAUUGAUUAGAUGAGAAAAAUAAGAUAAAUAUGUAGAUUCAUCAAAUUGGGUUUUUUCUAAACUUUUUAAACUUAUUAUUCAUCUGGAUUUCAAUAUUUAAUGGUGGAAAACGAAGGUUAUCUAUUCAAACGAUAUGAUUUAGUCGACUAAAGUGAUGAUUAUCGGUCAUGCUGUUUUCGGUUAGUUUGAUUUAAUUUUAUUUUUUUGUUAAAUUAAUCUAUUUUUGGUUUUAAUUUCUUAAUGUUUUUUAGUAUUAUUUUUUAGAUAUCUAAUGAAUUUUACAAUCGACAAUAAAUGUGAAGAUGUUGGUGAGGAUAGAAUACUUGCUUAUAAAACUAAUUCAAUAGUUUCAAUUUUAAGUUUUUAUUUUGAAUAUUUGCAAAUUUGUUCAUGGAGAUGAUACUAGUUGGUCGUUUUCAUCUGUUUGUGAGGGUAUGCAAGACAUCGCAUGAUUCAUGUUGUCACUGUUCAAGGAAAAACUUAGUUCUUUAUUAAUUCUAUUUCUGAUGAUUAACUCUUAAUGGUGGAUAGAUGGAGAAUUAAGAUAAUGAUGUGAAUUUUGUCCCAAAGCAAUAAAUUUUAAAAUCAAUUGAUUGUUCUCAAGAUGACAGAGAGAUGAAUGUAAUCAAAGAAGUUAGCAGCAAGGAAAAUGUUACACAGGUAGCACAUUUCAUUUUGUAUCUUACCAUAGUUUGGAAAAUGUACAAAAAAUGAAUAGUUUCAGUUUCGAAAACUUCCAAUGCAUGUGUUUUCGUAGGUUUGUCAGGAAUGCAUUUAAUUACAAAUGUGCUAGAAAUUUGUUAAUGGAGCCGAUGGAAGUUUUCUUUGAAAUCCUAGUUCAGAACAUUAUGUGAGUCUAAUAUGUGAAGUUAAUUAUGGAUGAAAUAAGGCUACCGCUGAAGUCAUGAGGAAAUGAAACAAAGUUACAGUAUGGGGAAGUUCACCGGUGGUUGGAACUAAAUUAGCCUACAUAUGAGGUUGAUUUGGUGGUGGUACAUAUCAAUAUUACUGGAUUUUUACUCGAUACAUAUAUAUUGUAUUUUCACUUGGUACAUGUUGAUAUAUGCUGGUUUUUCACUCGGGUACAGGUUCGAAACCAAGAAGGCAUUCCUAAACAUUAUGAGACAUCCUAAAGAGUUAAGAAGUACAUUUGGUUCUUGAGAGAGAGACAAUUCCUCCAAGGUCUCUAGUAAAUGAAUGUAUUGUUCGCAUAGAGCCAAACAGUGCGAGGAGGAUUUCUUGAUCCAUGCAGGCCUCAACCAGGAAGGCGAAUAAUAAUUGCAUCAAACUGCAUGGUAAAGAGUAAAAACAUGUUAGAUUUAAAUUUUGGUCCGAAAAAGCUCAAAUUCAAUAAAGAAGCAAUAACUGUAACUAUGGUCGUUGGAGAUACAACAAACAAGUUAUUGGGGUCAGAGAAUUUGCACGCAUCAAGGAUGGCAGAGACAUGUGGAAUUAUCUCAUCAACUUGAAGAGUCUGAUACCCAGUACAUAUCAAUAUGUACUGGGGUUAUCACUCAACACGUAUCAAUAUGUACUAAAGUUGUCUAAGUUAUAUUUCAGGCAUAUCAAUAUGUACCACGCUUACAUUGUACUAAAGUUGGUUGAGGAAUAUUUCUGGCAUAAUUUUCUUUGCGCCAGGUUUUACACUAGAGGAAGAUAUGUAUUGCCAGUAUUUAAGUCUCCAAAUACAUAUAUAUUGUAAGA